UACGAAGGGUGCAAGCGUUACUCGGAAUUACUGGGCGUAAAGCGUGCGUAGGUGGUUUGUUAAGUCUGCUGUGAAAGCCCCGGGCUCAACCUGGGAAUGGCAGUGGAUACUGGCAAGCUAGAGUGCGGUAGAGGGUAGUGGAAUUCCCGGUGUAGCGGUGAAAUGCGUAGAGAUCGGGAAGAACAUCGGUGGCGAAAGCGCUCUACUGGGCCAUAACUGACACUCAGGGACGAAAGCUAGGGGAGCGAAUGGG
rnacentral:rRNA from 1 species